GGGCAGGGCGCGAGCGCGGCCCCUCAGGGCACCGAGCGGCGGCCGGGAUGCAGGAACCGGGGGCAGGAACCGCGGGCAGCGCAGGCUUUUCUCUCGUUUCCUGUGCAGCUUUGCCUGGGACAGUGGUUUUCAGUUUUUUAAUGGCUCUGUGAGUUGAGUGAGAGAUUGCUGAAAUGUUACAAAACUGAGCCUGCAAUGAGCUGUCCAGGGGGCAGCUGUAAGAACCAGUGGGCAGCAGUGCCUCCAACAACUUGGGACUUGAUUUAACCUUUGGGACAGAUGGGAAGUUCUGUGAAAUGUACAGGAACAGUUUGUUCCAUUUUGUUACCCUGAGCUGUGGUUCAGCAAGCAGUGCCAGUGCCAUCAGGUUUCCAGCCUUUUGAACGAUGUGGAGGCGGAGGAGCAGAACAGGAGUUCGGUUUCGUGUGGGACCCCCGGCAGGCGAGGGACGGGCACUGCGGCCGAGCUGAGCCUCCUCAGGAGCGACCUACACGGGUCACACGGCUCAGGGCAGCACUCGUGACACGGCGCUGGACAACGAACUAUUGUUCACAUCUAUCUCCUAUCCUACACUCGGGCUUGAGACGGAGUUUAAUGAAUAAUAAACCUACACAAAUUUGGGGGUUUUCUCGUUUUCCUGAAUGUUUCCAGAUAUUUUUGCUUUCUAACAGAAUGUAUGGAAUUCAACAAGAUACAGUUUCAAGUACUGUUAUUUUUAACCAAGGACAAUAUUUGUUGUUGUCUUAAUGUUUCCAUUAUUAGCACAGAGCACCUUAAUUCUGCAGCAGUUACCAUUGCUUGAUUUCUUUUUUUAGGAAACAUACAGAUUUACCUAGGUGAAGAAAAACAUAGACUAGUUUAUAUGAUGUUAUCUGGUUGGACAGAGAAACUCUAACCAAAAGUAUUUGUAAUUUCAGAGAGCACUAUUUGCAGAUUUCUUAGAGAUCCAUGCUGAGUACUUCUUAGAAAAGAUGAAAUGGGCUUUUAUGCUUUCACAUCUCAGUUGCUUUGUUGGGUUCUUGGGGAGGAGAUCCCCAGCUGAAAACACAGCACAAAGAACUAAGGAUUCUUUAGAGGAGAGUAUUUAUUCUAACCAGGUUCACCAUCAGCUUUAUGUUUCAGAGUCAUUCUGAUUAUGGAGCACUGACACAAAAGAAGGUAAGGAUUUUUAGACCUUUUUUUUUAAGAAGCAUAAAUAAGCCCUAAAUAUCUUUAUUGCUGGUAUAAAGAUUAUACCCUCUCAUCCUCUCAUUUCUGCAGUCGUGUUUCUUGCCCAUAAAAAAGAGUUUGCAAGAGUUCUUAGGUGGUUAUUUGCCAAAUCUCUUAGUGAAAAUGCUUUCCCAAAUAGGCCAUUGCGUUUUAGAUGUAAGGAGUUUGUGGUAGUUUCUAUUUAUUACACAAGAAUGAACUUACAGUUUUGCAAAUCUUUGCUAUUGUCUUUAACCUUUACUUUUAGCUGGUUUGAGAUUAAAAAUAGUGAGUCAUGGGUCUUCUGUGCACAUGGAGAAAAGCAAGCACUGUGAUAUUACUUGAUGUUUUCAUGUUUGGCAGAGUUGGAAAACCAACACAGGAUGAAGAGGGACUGCAUCUAAUGCUGCCUAAAUUCUUGUCAUUUGGGUUCUUGCUACCAAAAUGGGAUGGUGUAUGGAAGGAGGUCUGUUCAGAGUCUACAGGUGUUUGAAGGGGGUUCAGCAGGAUAGAUCUAGCAUGAAACUGGGGGAAAACACUCUGUUUCUGGGCCCUCUCUUAGGUACAGAUUACCUGUGUGUCUUGAAUGGAUAGGGACAACAAUACCCCUAAAAAUGUUGUGAUUAUCAAAUGUCACCAUUUCAGAAGUCCAGCACCUCGCCCUGGAUAAGGACAGGAUGUUUCUCUGAAGGAGCAGCCAAGGAGGAGGCAGUUGCUGGACUGUGGUGUUUUCAGUAACCAGAGGAUGCAAUAUUUGCCAUGUAAAGCAGGGCAGUUCCUUGUUUUCCUAACGAGGUGCACAGACUGGCAGUGUUAACCUUGAGCAACCUUUUCUCUGCAGUGUUCUUCUCAAAGACAAGCUCAGUCCUGUUGCCUUGAAAUUCUUUUAUUCAGUUCUUCUACAGUUAAGGUUUACAUUUCAGUUCACAGAAAACUGGUUGUUCUUCUCCAAAGCAUACACAGCUUUCACCUCAGCCUGACUGUCUGCUCCCCACCCCCAUUUACAAUGUACAAUUCCCACUUGCAGCAUUUUCAGUAAACAUGGGAUCAAUUGAGUAUACAGAAAAAGCUUCUAUAAAAUUUCCAUUAAAAAAAUAACAAGUAUUUAUUUACAAAGUGUUUGCUACUACAAAGUAAUAUUUCCUAUUGGUUCAAAUAUACUAUUUGCUAAUGCCAGUGUUCCUAUUAGGAAAGUAAAACUUUGUAUAUGCACUUUUCUUUAUAUCUUUGUCAGUGUUUAAAGCACAUAAAAUACUACCACAUUUGUUUACACUACUCCUAGCCACGUACAAUGUGGUAGUGGAAAUUAACACUAUUUGUUCAGGACAAAAAAAUCAGCAUAGCUUAAUAGCAGACUUUCUGCAAAAAUAAAACUUUAGUUUAUAAUUUAUAGGUAUUUGGAAAGAGGGAAAUCUGUGAAGAAUUUAAAAAUGUGCAGCAAAUGAAGAUGAAAGGGAAACUUGAGCUUUCCUGAAGAUACAAGAGCUUAGCACAAAAAAUGGGAGAAAAUUUUUCCACCAAAGUGUUUGUGUGACCCUUUGUGCCAAUACACAUCUUGGGAGAGCAAGAUGAGUAGAUUAAAAAAAUUAAUUAAAACUUCAAAUCCCAUAUAAUUAGCAUGCUUGUAAUUGGACUUGUUUCUUCCCACCCACCAUGUUUACAAAACCCUGCUUUCAGUUCAGCGUUGGAGGUCAUUAAACAGCUUUGUCCAUGACUGGCCUUGUUCUUAAAAAAAAGUUUAAUUUAAAAGUUAAUAGGCUUUCAAGUGGUUUCUGCAUUUUAAAUAUAAAAAGGAAGUGUCUCUGCAAUUACUUCCAUGUAGAAGAUAGUGGACAUUAAAAUGUGCUACUGUAAGGGUGGGGAGGAGGGCCAGACCUGCCUUGUCUGCCCCUUGCUGCAUGUUGUAGCACCCUCAGAACAUGGGCUGAUGGCACAUGAGCGUUCAGAAUUCAGCAGCAAUGCUCCUUGCCAAGGACUCAUCCACUGCCAGGUCGUGCCCCAGGUGCAGCCAACAAGUCCUGCUGUAAAACUCUGCCUGCGGGUGCUGGCCAGUUUCUCCUGAUGCUCAGUAAGAUGUGCAAACACAAAGCUUGUGCCUUGGUGCCAGGGCAUGCUGUGCAGUCAGGGCCUGAGGAACGAGGGCAGGCUCAUAUCCUGCUUCUCACAGGCUUGUUCAAAGCAGGAUUCAUUUGUUUUGCAGUAGGUGCUUGGGAGAUACAGUGUCAUAACACUUGCCUAUGCUUCUCUGAAGGAUUUCUCAUGGCUUUGGGACAAGGGAAUGUUUCAGAAACUCGUAUGAUGGGUUGUGAUUCAGCUGGUGUUUUCCUGGGGAAAUUAUGGGAGAUCCACUUCAUCCCUGCAUCAGUAUGACCAAAUCUACGAAUUGUUAAAGCAAUUACGAUAGCAAUGCAACAAACCCAUCAAAAAGCCUGGAGACUGGUUCUGUGGACUUUACAUUUUCUGAUAGUUUUAACUUUUGUGGGCACUCAGAAUAGUUGUGUGUGACCUGAAAAUGUCAGCAGGAAGGGCUGUGGAUAUGUGAUGUCCUUCCCUCUCUGGCUGCCUGGCUGGUGUGGGUGGGCAGCAUGGGCAGCACAGGAACCAGGCAGUGUGAGGGACAAGUGUUUCACCCAUGGAGAGGAGAAUGGGCUAAAGCCAACUCAAUUUGUCUUGGAAAGUUUCUGCAUAGAUGAGUUUGAUUUGCAGCUACAACUGGCUUUAAAUUUGACAUUGCUGUAUCCUGCUAUCCCAUGCUGGCCAUAUUUCUAAAGUACCCAUGCCUGGAGAAUGUUGAGUGCUUAAGAAUGGCAUUUAGAGAAAUCAGAUUUAAGUGAUUGCACUUUUCUAGCCAAUACAGAAGACUAAUAAUCAUAGAGAUGCAAGUUUGUGCUUCUGGGAUGUUCCUGUGUCUGCUUGGAAUUAUAAUGGCUGUGUUACAGAUACUGAACUCUACCAGUCAGUCUGCUUUUCUUCUUAGAUAAAUGCAAAAGUAUUUAUUUGCUCCAUAUUGGUCCUAACUAGGAGGCUUUCCCUUGGGAUUUGGAUGGUUAGAUCUCAGAUGUUACUUCUGACCAAUUUUGAGCAAGGAUUUUUGGUGGCCUGCAGUUUAGGUGGAUAUCCUAAAUGUUGGAUUCUUCAGUAUUCUCAAAAAUCUGGAAGCAGAAAAGAGAAUAUUUUGGUUUUGUCUGAUCUCUGGGUGGGCAGACAGGGUAGGUGUAUCAAAGGUGGAGAGUGACUGUACAGCUGUGAUGAGCAGCUGUUCCUGGCACGCUGCUGUGUGUGCUGAGCAUUCCCUCCCCUCCCUUCAGUGCCAGCUGGGGAGGGAGCCAGGGAUGCCCCCUCAGGCACUCCCACUGAAGGAGCUGAGGGGCUCUGGCACACACAGCUCUGCAGUGACUUGCAAGGACAAUAAUUCUUGGCAGAGGGAAUGAACUAAUGGGAGUAACAUUGCUUAUGGGUGGUUUUUGGCAAUAUACCAGGACUGGGGAGAGGAGAGUUACAGCCUCUUAAAAAUACUCACCAGACAAAAUCUUGACAGUUAAACAGGAAAGAGAUAAUCUGAUUUGGGAACUCUGUUAAGUCUAAGGACUGAGUUUCGUGAUGUUUUAUGGUAUCAGGAUUGGGUUGUGUGAACACCUGCCAGCAGAAAAUUAGGUAUUUCGAGUUUUUCAUGUGCUCAGGUAGGUGUGUGAUGUCCUCAACAUCACAAAUGAUUCAUUGGUGCAUUGCUUGCAGACAGAGGCCAGGAUUCAAGCAGUGGCACAUUUUAAACAACAAACCUCCAUAAAUGGGUCCUUGGCUUCUCCCUCCCCUGUUCAUCACCGAUGCUGCAAGAGGCACCUGAGACACCUGCAGCCUCAGGGACCCAGUUCAGCAGAAGGCUGUCACCUCAAAGGAUGGCUACUACCAGAAUUUUUUAAAUCACAAAUUAAAAAAGCACACAUAGUCUUUCCCCAGCCCAUUACAUCUGGUUAUUUAAUGUAAUGAUGCCCAUGAGAGAUUCCUGGAAUGAAAAGAUAUAAAUGAGGUGGGUCAGGCAGGAAGAUAGCUUGCUUUGGUUUGUUUUCUCUACACCAUACCCUGUGGUGCUGGCUUUGGUUUUAAAUGAAUCCAAACCCCAAACAUCUUUAACUUGCUGAAGGGAAAGUCUUUACCAUCAGCUGCCUGAUUAUUUUCAGCUGAAAAGGUCCAGUUAACUACAAAAAGGAGUAUUGCCCAGAGUUCAAAUGUGGUUAAGUUUCAGCCAUACUCUUGAAUUAAAAUAGUGGAUUUGGU